UACGAAGGGGCUAGCGUUGCUCGGAAUUACUGGGCGUAAAGCGCACGUAGGCGGCUCUUUAAGUCGGAGGUGAAAUCCUGGAGCUCAACUCCAGAACUGCCUUCGAUACUGAAGAGCUCGAGUCCGGGAGAGGUGAGUGGAACUGCGAGUGUAGAGGUGAAAUUCGUAGAUAUUCGCAAGAACACCAGUGGCGAAGGCGGCUCACUGGCCCGGUACUGACGCUGAGGUGCGAAAGCGUGGGGAGCAAACAGG
rnacentral:rRNA from 1 species